GAUGAACGCUAGCGGCAGGCUUAAUACAUGCAAGUCGAACGGUAAGGUCUCUUCGGAGAUACACGAGUGGCGCACGGGUGCGUAACGCGUAUGCAACCUACCUUUAACUGGGAAAUAGCCCCGAGAAAUCGGGAUUAAUGUCCCAUAUUAUUUUCUGAAUGCAUAUUUAGGAAAUGAAAGCUCCGGCGGUUAAAGAUGGGCAUGCGUGACAUUAGCUAGUUGGUGAGGUAACGGCUCACCAAGGCGACGAUGUCUAGGGGGUCCUGAGAGGGUUAACCCCCACACUGGUACUGAGACACGGACCAGACUCCUACGGGAGGCUG
rnacentral:rRNA from 1 species